GACGAACGCUGGCGGCGUGCCUAAUACAUGCAAGUCGAACGGUCUUUUCUAUGGAAGCUUGCUUCCGCUGAGAAGAUAGUGGCGAACGGGUGAGUAACACGUGGGUAACCUGCCCAUAAGAGGGGGAUAACAUCCGGAAACGGGUGCUAAUACCGCAUAGUUUUCCUGAUCGCAUGAUUGAGAAAGGAAAGACGGCCUUUGUGCUGUCGCUUAUGGAUGGACCCGCGGCGUAUUAGUUAGUUGGUGAGGUAACGGCACACCAAGACGAUGAUACGUGGACGACGUGAGAGGGUGAUCGGCCACAUUGGGACUGAGACACGGCCCAAACUCCUACGGGAGGCAGCAGUAGGGAAUCUUCCGGAAUGGACGAAAGUCUGACGGAGCAACGCCGCGUGAGUGAAGAAGGUUUUCGGAUCGGAAAACUCUGUUGUCAGAGAAGAACAAGUCGGAGAGUAACUGCUCCGGCCUUGACGGUAUCUGACCAGAAAGCCACGGCUAACUACGUGCCAGCCGCCGCGGUAAAAC
rnacentral:rRNA from 1 species